rnacentral:rRNA from 1 species
CCUACGGGCGACAGCAGUGGGGAAUAUUGCACAAUGGGGGAAACCCUGAUGCAGCGACGCCGCGUGGGUGAAGAAGUACUUCGGGAUGUAAAGCCCUAUCAGCAGGGAAGAAAAUGACGGUACCUGAGUAAGAAGCCCCGGCUAACUACGUGCCAGCCGCCGCGGUAAUAAGUAGGGGGCAAGCGUUAUCCGGAUUUACUGGGUGGAAAGGGGGCGUAGACGGGGGUGCAAGUCUGGAGUGAAAGGCGGGGGCUCAACCCCCGGACUGCUCUGGAAACUGUAGGGCUGGAGUGCAGGAGGGGUAAGUGGAAUUCCUGGUGUAGCGGUGAAAUGCGUAGAUAUUAGGAGGAACACCGGUGGCGAAGGCGGAUUACUGGACUGUAACUGACGUUGAGGCUCGAAAGCGUGGGUAGCAAACAGGAUUAGAUACCCCGGUAGUC